UAACCUCCGGCCGCUCACUUAGUGAGUGUCUCAGUUACGGGAGAGAACCGGCAAGACGGGUUGGCAGGUCGGCACAGAAGUCACCGGAAUCAAGCAGGCCAUUUGUGCUGGUUGAAUCACUGCAACACAAAUGGGACGUGGCGGCUCAGGUCCUGCUCGCAGCUCCAGGACCACAUCCCUUCCUGGGGGAGACCUCAGGAAGGAAGGAACAGACACAGAGAGAUCAUCAUAUGCCAACCCACCCAUUUUACAGAUGAGGAAGUGGAGGCCCCUUGCUCACAAGGACACACAGAUUGCUGUUAGCUGGGUGGUGGCUCUUUUGUCCACACUUUUUCCCCAAAUCACUAAUCCAGGUUGUCUUCCCAGAGUGAACCCAGUCACCAUUCCCUCCCAUCAUGUCAGGUAAAGUUGCCCAGAACAUGCCAGUAAGACAGGCUCAUCUCCUUUUGUGACAUCUGGGGACCUGAUCCGUUCCAGUUUUGCCAGUAGCAGGGAAAUGGGCUCUAGACAGAAGCUGAAGUCACGUCUCUCCCCAAAGCCUGUUGCCAUCCCCAGGUCAUUCCCCAGCUCAGGCCCAGGAAGCCUUUGAGAUUUCUCUCUCCCUUCUUGCAGAAGCUAUUACAGGGAAAGGCUUUGACCUCAGCGCCUCACCUGUUGGGCCUCUUGCCUCUGUGAGCUGGGAAAGGACCCACCUCCAGAGGCUCCUGAAGCGCUUUUCAGAAGCUGCAGACUGGAGGUCGUGAAAGGGUGGACCCCCUCUCAGCCAGGUGGGGUCCUUGCCAGAAACUGAAUCAGCCGGAACCUCGAUCUCAGACCUGCAGUCUCCAGAACUGUGAGAAGAUACAUUUCUGUUGUUCCAGCCGCCCAGGCUGGGGUAUUUUGUCACGUGGCCUGAGCGGAGACAGCUUCCAUCUCACCUGGACUAAAUCCGGAGGCUGUUCCGUGGCCGCCUCU